UAUUGGCAGGCUGCUCUUACAGAAACUGGAAAUCAUUCCUGUUCUAACAUGAGAAAGAUUUCUGUUUAAGGGAAGGAUUAUACUACUAAAACUCCAAACAAACACCAUGAAACAAGCUUUAAUGAUUCACUGUGCUGUCCAGUGCUGGGGAAAAAAAAAAAAAAAAGAGAGAGAGAGACAGAGAGCGAGAGAAAGAGAGAGAGAGAGAGAGAAGUGGAAGACAGAAGGAAAAAUGAAGAAGAAAAAGAAGAGAAAAGAGGAAAAAGGAAAAGAAAAAAGAAAAAGAGGAAGAUGAAGAGAAAGAAAGAGGAAGAGGAAGAGAAAAAAGGAAAAGGAAAAGGAAGAGGAAGAGAAAAAAGGAAAAGGAAAAGGAAAAGGAAAAGGAAAAGGAAAAGGAAAAGGAAAAGGAAAAGAAGAAAAAAGACAAGGCAAAGAAAGGAAUCCUGUGUAUCUCACCUCUCUCCACAUGCCCAUGCAAGGCUGAACAUUGUCCAGACUUCCUCCAAUCUCAAUGGCAACAGGCACCACAGAGCAAAAUUUUGAUAUCCAGCUUCUCUAUAAACAACACCCUUCAGCUUCCUAUGGAACACUAUGAAACAGAAAGAAGAGGAAAAUUUACUUUCAUGCGGGCAAGAGUUUUCCUGUAGGCUCCCUUCAGUUACUGGAAGGCCGCUAUUAGGUCCCCCAAGGGCCUUCUCUUCUCCAGACUGAAAAGCCUCAACUCUUUCAGCCUCACAGGUGAGGUGCUCCAGACCCCUGAUUAUCUUCAUGGCCCUCCUCUGGACUUGCUUCAAUAGAUCAAUGUCCUUGUUGUGUGGAGGACUCCAGAACUGAACACAGUACUCCAGGUGGUGUCUCACAAAAGCAGAAUAGAGGGGCAGAAUCAACUCCCUUGAUCUGCUGGUCAUGUUUCUCUUGAUGCAACCCAGGAAAAGGUUGACCUUCUGGGUUGCAAGCACACACUCUCAGCUCAUGCUGAAUCUUUCAUCAACCAACACCUCCAAAUCCUUUUCCUCAGGGCUGCUCUCAAGCCAUUCUCCUCCCAACCUGUAUCUGUGCUUGAGAUUGCCCCAACCCAGAUGCAGCACCUUGCACUUGGCUUUGCUGAACUUCAUGAGGUUGGCAUGGGCUUAACUCUCAAGCUUGUCCAGGUCCCUCUGGAUAGCAUCCCUUCCCUCUAGGAUGUCAACUGCACUACUAAGCAUGGCGUUGUCUGCAAACUUGCUGAGAUUUCAUUCAAUCCCACUGUCCAUGUCGCCUACAAAGAUGUUAAACUGCACUGGUUUCAGCAGUGAUCUCUGAGGACUACUCGUCACCAGUUUCCACUUGGACACUGGGCCAUUGACGACAAAUCUCUGAGCACUACCAUCCAGCCAAUUCCUUACCCAGCGAGUGGUCCAUCCAUCAAAUUCAUCUUUCUCCAAUUUGCCAACUAGGAUGUAGUAUGGGACAGCGUCCAAUGUUUUGCACAAGUCCUGGUAGAUGACAUCAGUUGCUCUUCCUUUAUCCACUGCUGCUGUAACUCCAUCAUAAAAUGCCAAUUUUGUCAGGCAUGAUUUGCUCUUGGUGAAGACAUGCUUGUUA
ensembl:lncRNA